AAGACUAUACUUCACAGGAUCAUUUCUGUAGUUUGUCUUCAUCAAUCGUUAGUCCUAUUUGGGUGGCGAUUCAAGCCGCGAUGAUGCUAUGCAGCGUAGCGUCUCGUCUGGAGCGUGAAAAGGACGGCGAGAAGGCCUUCGGGCUCUUCUCAUCCGUCGUUGAAGAUCGCUCGCGCUUCGGCGCGAAGGACGCGACGCAGGCUGAGUGGC